rnacentral:rRNA from 1 species
AUGGGGUGCAGCAGGGGAGAAAACUUUGCAAUGUGCGAAAGCACGACAAGGUUAGUCCGAGUGAUUUCUGCUAAAGAGAUCUUUUGCUAGUUAUAAAACCACUAGUGAAUAAGGGGUGGGCAAGUUCUGGUGUCAGCCGCCGCGGUAAAACCAGCACCUCAAGUGGUCAGGAUGAUUAUUGGGCCUAAAGCAUCCGUAGCCGGCUCUGUAAGUUUUCGGUUAAAUCUAUGCGCUCAACGUAUGGGCUGCCGAAAAUACUGUAGAGAUAGGGAGUGGGAGAGGUAGACGGUACUCGGUAGGAAGGGGUAAAAUCCUUUGAUCUAUCGAUGACCACCUGUGGCGAAGGCGGUCUACCAGAACACGUUCGACGGUGAGGGAUGAAAGCUGGGGGAGCAAACCGGAUUAGAUACCCGGGUAGUCCCAGCCGUAAACGAUGCAGACUCGAUGAUGCAUUGGCAUAUAGCCAGUGCAGUGUCGCAGGGAAGCCGUUAAGUCUGCCGCCUGGGAAGUACGUACGCAAGUAUGAAACUUAAAGGAAUNGGCGGGGGAGCAC